AUGGCGUUUUUAUAACAGAAUGUAUGAUGGGAGAGGAAAUGGUUGGCCGGAAGUGAUGAUUGGAGGCGGAAACACGGAACCAACAUCAUCAGGAGUAGACAGAAGUAAUGGAUCGUGGAACCGGAAGUGACGUCAUUGGAGUGGACUGGAAGUGACAUCAUCACGACCAUUUUGGAGCCGGAAAUGGAGAGAUUUAUUUUUCUUCCAGUUUUCUUCAGGAUCAGCGGUAGCUGAGUUGGAGAACUGGAUGGUGAGGUGACCCACUUAGUGCAGUGUGGAUGGAACAACUGGAAGAAGGUAGCAGGCGUAUUGUGUGGUAAAAAGAAUUAAGGUGGCUGUUAAAGCAACAAGAAACAACCCAGUGAGGGCAACUGGCUCCGCCUCUUCUGGUUAACCAUCCGUAAAUCACCCGGCAUCCUGGAAGGAAGCAUCAUUUUGCUGAGAGCAACCUGCUGGGUGGAGGUCCUGAACAGAUUGGCCCUAAACCUUUGGCUAGAAGCUGAAUCUCAAUCUUCAGUACCAUCUUGUAGCCCAAAUGCAAGGGCAAGAAAGACAAAGGACUUUUGUUUGGUUUCGCUUGGAUGUUAAAUAGUCACACGACAGGAAAAACAGAGACGAAACCCAACAAAAUAUAAACAGACGAUUCACCAACAACGUACUUCCGCAUCAAGCUACGGCCCCCCGGCAUGACUUCAUUUCCGGUCCCUUGUUGAUGUCCUCCCUUCCGGCUUCCCACACUGACAUCACCUUCAUCACACCAUGCCUCCGACACCCUCAUUUCCUUUACGACUGUACUUCUUCUGGUUCCACCCCAUAAAAGCUCCCUCUGGAAACUGUUUCUCUGUCUAACGUGUACUUUGUAUGCAUACGACCGGUACCUCAGUGCUACUGCUUGGCCUGAGCGGUUCACACUAUACGGGGAUGGUUUUCCCAACCCUUAAUCGAUUCUCUGUGUCUUUUUAUACUUCACAAUAUAUAAUGUGUGUGUGCACACUUUGCUCGCCUGCCACUUUGCAUUUCUGCCACGUCGCUCCUCCAAAACCCCCUCUUAAACUCUUUGC